AACGGAAGGCGAUGGUGUUGGUGAGGGUUGAGCGGCCUGGCUGGUGAAUACCAACGUCAUAAAGUACGUACGAGCUACCGUUAAACCACGCAGACGACGACUCUGUUGGGAGAAAUGAUUGUUAGUUCUCUUAUUGCGUGUAAAAGUGAGAAGUGUUCAUGGCCGCUAGACUUACCUAUCCCACAGUCAUCUCCUUCAUACCCAGUCCCCUGGCACUCGCAUUCAACACGGCCAAUCUCGGCCGAGCAGCGCCCACCAUGCAAACACUUAUUGAGUUGCGGUGUGCGACAAGGACUGUUACAUCCCGACGUGGUCCCGGAUGAGUCACGCAGCGUCGCUUGAUCCAGUCUCUGUUCGGAUGUCGUAAACCACAGGUCCCCCAAACAGCCUUCAAAACUAUAGAAAUAUGAAGACGAUAAAACCUUUUUCAUUCCAGCUUUCGAGUAGUUUACCUGAUUGGUACUAUAUUUCGCGUCACUUAAAUUUCGCGAUCUCAUUGAUUUUUAAAAAUUCGCGAAAAAGACACGAAAUCUAAUUCUGUGAACUUUAAUUUCGCAAAAUUUAACCUCCCAUUUUUGGUUUUUCUCUAUUUUCAAAACAUUGAUGAUGACAAGGUCAAGAAGUUGCAAUUUUUCGCUUUUGUUUCACAGCUUCGAUAUAAAUAUGCUUGAAAAUAGACUCAAGCACAAAAUAAUGCGUUUCAUACAGUUAUAUUUUGUUGUGUAAAAAUAACAUUGUCAGGAAAAUUUCGCGAGAUUUAUUAUGCCCCGAAAUCGCGCAAUUAAAGCCUUACGGAAUAUGCCAGCGCUUUUUUCGCGAAAUUAAGUGUCCCGAGAAAUAUAGUACUAAAGUAAAAUACGUAAACCAUGUGUCUUUUGAAAGUAGGUUAAGUAAGAGCAAAUACGCACAAUCCCAUAAUUGAAAAGAGUACAAAUACAAAAAAGGCCGAAAAAUCAACUUUCCAAAAAUGUGUCCAGCUUUCCAGCCAAAAAACUUUUGUAGAAAGGAUAUAAAAUUGGAAGAUGUUUUUUUUAAAUCUCUCAAAUAAUGCUAGGUAACAAUGGAAAAAUACUACGAAAUGUUUAGAUGUUACAAAGGGAACAUAUAUAUAGCUUUAGUCUGGCAUAAUUUUCAAUAAUUCAUAAACAAUAUUUGAGAAGACAAAUGAAAUUUUCGGAAAAUUUAAUUCUGUUAUAAAUAAACAAUAGUGUUCCUACAAGGAUUUUGGGCUUACUAAGAAGAACACAUGACAUAUUACAUAUAAAUACACCCUACGAGCUUUUCUAUGCCCAUCUUUUUUCCUCACAUUUCGCUCUUUUUCGUUGCAAUUUCAAGGUAACUUGUAACUUUUAAAGUUACUUGUUCACAGGAGAAGGAAAACGUAAUCUAUAAAUCAAUGAAUGACGCCAAGUAUAAACAGUCUAUUUGAUGCUUAUCUCAAAACUCAUUCAGCGGAAAUUGUCUAAACAUUGCUCGCAUAAAACAAUUACUAAAACUAUUACUGUGCCAGUAAUCACGUUGGAGUGUGAUGGUUUGAUAGUUUAUGAGUGUAGAAACAGGAUCCGGCAAAGAACCGGACCUGUUGCAAAAACGCCCUAAACACUAUCGCCUCAAUUAACAGAAUGAACAACUCAUUAACAACAUCCGUUCUCUACUUACGUAAACAGAUUAAAAAAGAACUCUAUCCGUGGUAGAAAAACAAAACCACGCGCUUGUGUGAUGGACAAAGCUACCUUGUAAAUUUUGCCUUUUCGCGAAAAUUGUUUUACCGAACACACUGCGUGUAGUACUUAUUAAAUAUACGCAUAUAAGCAAAGCAUUGUUAGUAUGUACAAUUUAAAUAAAUAAACCGAUAAAAUAAA